GUGCAUUUUUGUUUUUACAAUUGUUGCACAAUAUACAGCACAAGCCUGAUUUGGUGAGCUGUAUGUGAGAUUCACACAUACUCCAUUUGCAGUGUGCAUGCAGUCCAUGUGUGGUACAGAAGCGGUGCAGAAGCAGCUUUCACACAGGAGUCCACUACGAAUCCCUGGCUCUUUACCACAAACACAACAUUUAUCCAUUAUUUUGAUUUAAAAAACAAACAUUGUUACUGAAAAUGCUUUUUCAACAUUGCCAUUCUUUUUGUACAUAGUACAGUAAUGCAAUCUUUCAUAGACGUGUUUAAAUGCAAUAAAUAUAAGCAACACAUUUUUCAAUGCUUUUUACUUUUGUCUUUACUUCUAGAUUUAUAUAAGAAGUUGUGGCAAAACAUUUAAACUACUUCUCUUACAUUAUCACAAACAUUCUAAAUUAAAACUUACAAUUGACAGAAAUGGCUCUACUGCCUUUUCUUUUGCCUUUAAAUCUUUAUUACAAGCAAUCCUGCAGUUCAUAAAGAUCUUUUUUUCCUACCUCCACGAGUCCAAUCUAUACUUUCCUUGUUUAUCUAAAAGUGCUCUUUUCCUUAUAGCAAAAAUGCCGUAUGUGUUGACUGUUAAACACAGUAGACUUUAAUUAUAUGCACUGCUGUGUAAUAUGCAUAAGAAUACAAUUACCCUGCCUCAUUGUUUAAUGUAUUUAGUUAAUAUAUUAUGUCUAAGGGUGUAUUCUUUUGUUUAUUUCCUGGGAAGGCCUCAUACAGGCAAAUAUGUAACUGCUGCAUGUUGUAGAGGAAAUUCAGCAACUGUCCUAUUGCAAGUAUGCCUUUACCUUUAAAUACCUUUGUAUUUUAACCAAAUACAGUUGUUAUUGGUAUUGUUUUAUUGAGAAGGUGGUUUAUUAAGAAAUACACCACACAUUAUAUUGUAUUUGUUUUAUUGAGAAAGUGGUUUAAGUAAAACACCACACCAGUGUUAUUUUCGUUAACGAAGAUGACGACGAAAAAUAUUCGUUAACGAACAUUUUUCUGUGACUAAGAUGAGACGUUGACGAGCUAAAAAUAUUAUCUGAUGACGAAAUUAUGAAAAAAUUUAUGCCGCGCCUUCGUUAACUAGACGAGACUGGACUAUAAUGUUAUUUGAGGACUACCGGACAUUCAAAAUGCAUCCUAUAGGCUAUUGUCCUUCAAAAUGUGCGUCCCUGUCAUUGGAUUGCGAUCGGAUAAGGGGUGUUUGCAUAUCUAGUCAGUAUAGCAGCUGCAGUGGAUGGAUAGGCUAAUAAAAUGCGAACUAGCGAUCUGAAACAAUGGCCUCAGCACCCGAAGGGGUAGGGAUAAGGUAAUCAGACGUCCCGUUUUUCCCGGGAGUACGGUGUACAUUUUAGGACAUCCUCAGACCUCAGUCAUUAAAUGAAAAGGCGUCAUGCCUCAGACUAAAAGGCUUCAGUCAUUGGAAAAAACGGCAUCGCGCCUCAGACUGAAAAGCUUCAGAUCUCAGGAAAAAGGACGUCAGGUGUCAGGUCUCAUACAAUUAGGCAUCAGACGAAACGGACUCAGACAAAAAGGCAUCAGACGAAACAGACUCAGGAAAAAAGGCAUCAGACGAAAUGGACUCAGACAAAAAGGCAUCAGACGAAACGGACUAAACUCAGGAAAAAAGGCAUCAGACGAAACGGACUCAGACAAAAAGGCAUCAGACGAAACGGACUCAGGAAAAAAGGCAUCAGACGAAACGGACUCAGGUAGAGUAUCGCGUUGCCCCGCCCCAGGUGACGUCACACGCACGUGGUUCAGAGGAAGUGGUAUAUAACGGUUGAUUGAUGGCAAAAGGAGGUAAGCAGCAUCUGAUAUAUUUUAACAUUUUUAUUCAAAUGUUACACUAAUUAAGUUAUAUACGGAAGAGAACAUGCAUUUCGAGAGUCUUGUGUGCACGUUUAAAAUGUUAGUUAGCCAUAUUGCAACUAGCGAGCUUUUAUUUUGGCAAAGUGUAGUAAAAUUACCCUUACGAAAAAUAACCAUGGUUUUAUUACCAAAAAAAAAAACCCUGGUUGAUAUAGUUAAAUCAUGGUAUCCGCAGAUUAACCAUGGUUUUGCUAUACUAACCAUAGUUUAACCAUGGUGUUUGUAGUAAAACUGUGGUUAUACAAAUGGUAAUCAUUACACUAAAAAACAUGUUACUACACUUUUACUAUAAUAAAACCAUGGUCACUUUACGUCAAGGUAAAGCGAAUUCUUUCGAGCUAUUAGAUUGAAAUCUUAGUCUAAUUAUAAUAUACCUGUAUGUGUCUAACACUAGUUGUUGAAUUAAAUGAUUUUGCAAAAACAAUGGUUCUGUCUUAUAACUAAAUAUAUAUUUGUUUGUUUCAGUCAAUCAAGUUAUCGCUGACAUUUUCGGGGUAAGCGUGGCUACGGUGAGCAAGACCAUUAUCACCUGGGCUAAUUACCUGGGUUCAGUACCCAUUUAGAUGUCCAGGCAACAAAAAAGCUCCUCCAUGCCAGAGAAUUACCGUUUGUUCAAUCCAAACCUGCAUGUCAUCCUGGACUGCACAGAAAUCCGCUGUGAAAGCCCUGCAUCGCUGAUACUCCACUCUGAGAUCUUCUCCAGUUACAAGAGUACUACCACAUUCAAAGGUCUGGUUGGGGUAGCUCCAUGUGGUGCAGUGACUUUUAUCUCCCAGCUUCAAUCUCCGGUUCAACACCGGUUCAAUCUCUGACAAAGAAAUCACGAAGAAGUCCGUCAUUUUGGACCUGCUUGAGCCUGGAGAUGUGGUCAUGGCAGACAAGGGGUUCACUAUUGAAGAUAUGCUCUCCAGUGUUGGUGCUAGACUGAUCAUUCCACCUUUCAAAUGUGCCAAGCAGUUCAGCAAACAGGACUGUGAAAAAACACAGGCCAUUGCACGCCUCAGAAUUCUGGUGGAAAGGGUGAUUAGAAGGGUCAAGGAAAACCACAUAUGGGAUUCUGUUGUGCCACUCACCUUGUCAGGAAGUAUUAAUCAGAUCUGCCAUAAUUGCUGUUUUAUGGUUAAUUAUCAGGGACCAAUGUUUCUUGAGCAGUGAAUGUAUAUUAGUAUAUUACAUUUUUUAGAAUGACUGUG
ensembl:lncRNA